rnacentral:rRNA from 1 species
AGCGAACGCUGGCGGCAGGCUUAACACAUGCAAGUCGAGCGGGCAUAGCAAUAUGUCAGCGGCAGACGGGUGAGUAACGCGUGGGAACGUACCUUUUGGUUCGGAACAACUGAGGGAAACUUCAGCUAAUACCGGAUAAGCCCUUACGGGGAAAGAUUUAUCGCCGAAAGAUCGGCCCGCGUCUGAUUAGCUAGUUGGUGAGAUAAUGGCUCACCAAGGCGACGAUCAGUAGCUGGUCUGAGAGGAUGAUCAGCCACAUUGGGACUGAGACACGGCCCACACUCCUCCGGGGGGCAGCAGUGGGGAAUAUGGGACAAUGGGGGCGAGCCUGAUCAGGCCAUGCCGCGUGAGUGAUGAAGGCCCUAGGGUUGUAAAGCUCUUUUGUGCGGGAAGAUAAUGACGGUACCGCAAGAAUAAGCCCCGGCUAACUUCGUGCCAGCCGCCGCCGUAACAC